rnacentral:tRNA from 1 species
UGGGGUUGUAGCUCAGUGGUAGAGUGCUUGCCUCACAUGCGUGAGGGCCCUGGGUUCAAUCCUCAGCACCACAA